AAGGGAAGGGCAGAGUCAUAGAUUAGGUGGUUCAAGUAUUCCAUGUUAAACGCCUAUAAAUAAGCCACGCCCCACGUCACUUUUCGCAGCCCAGAUUUUUCAAUCUCGCUCCCUCCGAUCUACCUGCACCACGCGGAGAUCUCAUGCACUAGAAUGCAAAAAGGCUAUCUCUUGUUAGUGCAAUCCGACAUCCGUGUGAAGCACAGUCGGAAGGAGCGAGAUCGGAAAAAUUUGGCUUGUGAAAAGUGACGUGGGGCAGGACUAACAGGAGUAGUUUGGCCGGAGUCAUAGAUUACAUGGUUUGAGUACUCCAUGGUAAACGCCUUUAAAUAAGCCACGCCCCACGUCACUUUUCGCGGACCCGAUUGUUAAGGCUUUUUCGGGUUCGCUCCCUCCGAAAGCAGAGUCAUAGAUUAGAUCUAUCUAAUGGUGAUAUUAGAUUCCAGAUUAGAUUCUAAUCUUAGACCAUGCCGAAAGUGCUGCAUCAUGCGGAGAUCUCUUGCACUACAAAUGCAACUCUCUAGACAUCCGCUUGGUGCAAGUAUUCGAAAACUCUAUCUCUCUUGUUAGUGCAAUCAGAUCUCCGCUUGGUGCAGCACUUUCCGAGGGAGCAAGAUCAGAAAUCGGGUUCGCGAAAAAAGCCGCCGUAAACCAGGGGCGCGUCAAGUGGCAAAUUAACAACAAUACGCUAGAAACGCUAUAUACCUGAUCUCAGCAGCCUCCUGGCGGUAAUCAACUUGUACUACACUUUGUACAGAGCCUUAUGGAAAAUCAGGAUUCGUCUGAUUUUCCACUUGACGCGCCCCAGGAGUAGUCAGACCAUGUAAUCUAUUGUCGAUUUCGGAUGGCUGCACUUUUCUGCACUGGUGCAAUUGCCCCGAGAAAAAGUUGUUCGAGUGGUAAUCUUAGUGCAAUCCACUUUUUCGGUGCAUCGAAUUUGUACGUUCCAGUGGCACUCCGGCACCGCCCGAGGUCACUCGAAAACUGCACUUUCUUGCCCGACCUUUUUAGUCAGUGCAAGCGGUGCAGUGCAAUUUCUAGCAGACGAAUUUAGAGAGUGUGUUGUUUAGUGAUAGGAGCCUUUUUUUCUUUCGUCUGCUUCUUCCUCCAGGGCGUAAAAAGUGAAAAAAGUGUUCGAGUGUAACGUUUAUUUUCUGACAACCCGGUGGAGUGCACAACACAGUCUUCACCAGUGAACUGAUACUGAUCCGAUUCCGUGUCGUUAAAAAACGGAUUUUUUGAGGGCCGUAGAACGGAUUGGUUUCCGUUCUCUAACGCUAGAGUCGCAUGAAGGCAAUAACGUUAUGCCUACCCUCUAGCGCCUCUAGCUGAUUCAUAAUCGGAUUCGUUUCAGUUAACCGAUUUUUGACAAAGCAGCGCGUUGUUCAAAUCAGUGAGCGGACCCGUUUCCGUUCACAGAUCCGUUUCAGUUUAUUAUCAACUUGUUUUUAUAAUAAGAAGCCGAAACCUUUCCAUUAUUUGAACGGAUUCGUUUCCGUUUCCAUAGCACGUUUUUAGUAAACAAACUGUUUGCUUAUUAGAAUAACGUACGUGCUUAAUGUGAGUGCAAUAUUUUGUUUUCAAUAAUGCCUAUGUCAGAACAAUUAAGGAAAAUGGUUGCUGAAGGGAAAAUCAAAAAAAAAGACCCAGGGCAGAAUCAUGGACUGCAGGAAAGAGAUGGGAUAGAUUAAAAACUGUAAAACAAAAAUUAGAAACCCUUCAUGGAGAAAAUGAGGUGCAAUAUGCAACUAAGGACGAUUCUGGCUCAGCUGUUUCAUUGCAUGAAUCAAGUGUUGUUGGACACGAUGCAUGAGACUUAGGCCAGCCAGCCAAUUCCGCCGUAGCCGCCAACGAAUCGUCAUUGGUAAUAAUCUUGGAAGGCUUCGACGCAGAAGAAGUUGGAAGCAGAUAUGUGGAGGUUAAAGAAGCAUCAAAUGGUGCUGUUAAGACAUGGGAGAUCAAGCAAGUACCAAGUCGCUGGACUGAAGCAGAAUUUAAACAGUUUAUAGAAACUCAAUUUGUAAAUUGAUGCUUUCUUUACUUAUUUAUUUUUUUUUUUUGCUUUUUUUAAUAUUUGGUACUACCAUACUACCAUACCAGCAUUGCACUAGUGUAAUGCUACUAAAACUGCCAUUCCCUUUUACUCUUUCACUGACACAAACCAGUAUUAAAUUAUGUGUUUUUACCGUUGGCCUGUCGGUUCCCCCGUCGGUGGCUGGAACACUGUGCCGCAACUCGUAAAAUUCUCUAAAAGAAGACGUGUUUUCCAGUGAAAACAUGCGUUGUGGUUUAUUGCAUUUCAAUAUCUUCCAAUUCAGAAAAAUGUGAUAAAGAAAAGUUAAAACGGCUUGUUAAAUUUUUCAACAUUGCAGUCCUAUUAUACGGAUUAAUAUAUUAAGUCUGUAAUUUUAUGUGGAAGUUAAACCCUGAUGUAUGUGUAAUUGUAUGUGUGUCAUUCGGUGGUCGGCGGCUUGGUGGUUGGAAUCAUUAUGAGCGUUAAUAAGUGAAGAAGUGCUUCCGUCCUUCACAUUCGGUGACUGUCAGAUUCAAAUAAACAAGUGACAAGAA